CUUCCAUCUUGACACUCGCAACGGUCGAGACAGCCCUGAUAAGACGUCCUUCGAGUAGGAGUUUGGGAAGACUGUGAUAUCCUUGAGCUAGCUAACUAACCAUUGGGAGCACCGCAAAUGGAAAUUUGACUUUGACGAGCCUACAGUGGUCGCUUUUUGAGUUUUCUGCCAGGACAAAGAGAGCAUCUGCACGGCGACAGGCUUAGUUGGGUGAGGCGAGAGAAGGAACGGGGAACGGGGAACGGCUUGGGCAACAUCCAUCAGUUCUUGUUCUAAAUCCCCAGAAGCCAGCCCCAAACGUUUUAGAAAUACUGCACAGCAUGAGCAAAGUAGAUUCCCACACGGGUACAUCCUUGAGCAGGAUGGUUUUAAUGAGUUUCUGAGGACCAAAUUAUAACUACUUUUUGACGACAAACAACA
rnacentral:sRNA from 2 species